GGAGGUUACUGCUAUCGGUGUUCGCCUAACCCAUGCAAGUCAUAUGUUCUUCGUGAACAUGGCGUACUGCUCAGUAACACGUGAAUAACCUGCCCUUGGGACCGGCAUAACCCCGGGAAACUGGGGAUAAUUCCGGAUACCGCAUAUAUGCUGGAAUGCUUUAUGCGUGAAAUGGAUUCUUCUGCCCAAGGAUGGGUCUGCGGCCUAUCAGGUAGUAGUGGGUGUAAUGUACCUACUACCCUACAACGGGUACGGGUUGUGAAAGCAAGAGCCCGGAAAUGGAUUCUGAAACAUGAAUCCAGGCCCUACGGGGCGCACCAGGCGCGAAAACUUUACAAUGCGGGAAACCGUGAUAAGGGGACACCGAGUGCCACCAACAUUUGUUGGCUGUCCAGGUGUGUAAACUACACCUGUUAGCAAGGGCCGGGCAAGACCGGUGCCAGCAC
rnacentral:rRNA from 1 species